GAUUUACAUGAGUGGCGUGCACUUCACAAGACAAGAUGAGGAAUACAUACAAAGUCUGCAAACUGAGCAGGAAAGGGACACUCUGGUUCCUGAAGAGACCACUCCUCAAAACAUCUGAUCUGGGUCCUCUGAUACCACUGCUGGCUUCCUGGAUUUGAGUCAUGUCAAAGAAACUACCGAACCAGAUCUGAAAACCUUACUGACAACUCUAGCAUCAAAAGUCUGGAUUGGAGAGACGCCCAGCAGUAAUAUGAUCAAUGUAUGCAGAGAAAACAUAAUGGAUGGUGCCAUGCGAGCCUUUACAAGAAGGAGUUUCAAUCCAGAGG